rnacentral:rRNA from 1 species
UACGUAGGGGGCAAGCGUUGUCCGGAUUUAUUGGGCGUAAAGAGCGUGUAGGCGGCCUGAAAGGUCAGCUGUGAAAACUCGGGGCUCAACCCCGAGACGUCGGUUGAAACCAUCUGGCUAGAGUCCGGAAGAGGAGUGUGGAAUUCCCGGUGUAGCGGUGAAAUGCGCAGAUAUCGGGAAGAACACCCGUGGCGAAGGCAGCACUCUGGGACGGUACUGACGCUGAGACGCGAAAGCGUGGGGAGCGAACAGG